rnacentral:rRNA from 1 species
AGGACCGGAGUGGACGCAUCACUGGUGUUCGGGUUGUCAUGCCAAUGGCACUGCCCGGUAGCUAAAUGCGGAAAAGAUAAGCGCUGAAAGCAUCUAAGCGCGAAACUUGCCCCGAGAUGAGUUCUCCCUGAGCCUUUAAGGCUCCUGAAGGAACGUUGAAGACGACGACGUUGAUAGGCUGGGUGUGUAAGUGCAGCGAUGCAUUGAGCUAACCAGUACUAAUGAUCCGUGAGGCUUAACCUUACAACACCGAAGGUGUUU